CCUCGAUCCCAUCUUCACCUCCCGCGCCGCCCGUCCCCGCCGCCGCCGCCUCCUGCCCCGCCCCGCGCCCCCUGCCGCCGCCACCUCCUAUCGCGCCCCCUGUCACCGUUGUAGGUUGGGCGAGUGCGGAAUCAGAGUUCGGGACAGCAGCGGACGGCGCUCCUCUCGGUCGUCCUCUUCCCGACGGCAGGUGAGGCAGGAGGCCGCGGAUCCGGCUGCUCCGGCGUGGAUCCGACGGGGGGGCGGAGGGAUCGAGGAGGGGGAGCACGAGGCAGACGGAGAGGUGGCCAGAGACGCUGGGCGGGGUGAUGCGGUUGUCCAUGGCGAAAACAACGUCGCUUCCCCGUGCCUUCGCACCGGUCCUCCGCCACCCCCUCGCCUCCCUCUGCUCUAGGCCCGUCUCGAGCCGCCAGAAGCAACUACUGGUCUCUAGCCAGUGCCCUCGCCUCACUCCUCCCCGGUCAUCGUUGCUGCCAAGGAAGUAGCUGGCGGAACGCGGCGAGCCCCGAUCUCCUCCACAACAGCCGACGCCUCUUCCUGUAGCGAGCUCACCCUUUACGCGCCUUCUGCAGGAGCAGGACGAGGCUCCCAAAUGCAGCGAGCUUCUUGUGUAGGUCAGAUUGCUCCCUCCUGCUUCUCUGGCCCACACAUUCCUAGCAGUUUUAUUAGAAAAAUACUGAUACGAAAAUGUGUGUAGGCAGAUCAUUGUAGCAUAUACAUGGAUUAGGCAUUUGUUUUCCCCUGUUUUUGAUAAGUUAGUAGCUCCAGUUAUUUUUUUAUGGAUGUUAUUUACUUUUGGAUACAUUCCCAUCUGAACAAUCGAAGCUUGGGUAAUACUAGAUGUUAUUAUAGUCAUGCCAUCCCAGUGUGAUUUACUACCUACUUGCAUGGAUCCCUACACAUAGUGUAUGUAAUUUCUAACCAAUUUCAGAUACUGCGUUGACUUUCUUUUCUAAAGAUUGCCCCUAAGCGCUGGUGGUUGGAGAUAAAGUUUAGCCAAGAUGUUAUUCUGAUGCUUCUUCAAUGAAUUUUCCUGAUGGAAUCCGGGAUGUUCUUCACCUUUAUCAUGUAACGCCCCAGAUUUGUGGGAUGUGGGCAGCUGGACACAGGGUUAUCCGUGAAAUACAAUCUGUAAAAUAAAAUAAUACAAUCUGGAAGAUAGGUAUAGGGAUGAACACUCAAAGGAUUGUGCCCCCAUGCCUAGGGCCUGGCUACGCCACUGCCUGUAGCUGUUAUUAAACAAGAUCCCAACUGAAUGUAAAACACAAUGCUUCCUGCACGCUAUGUAAUGCUAAAUGUAUAUUGCACCUAUAAUUUAUAACUACAGGUUCUCCAAGUUAGACAAAGGUUUCCUUCAUACUUGAAGCAAAGCUUUUUUUAUAUCUUCAUGUCAUAUGAGUUGUAGUUUUCCGGAUCAUCUACACACUUCAGAGAAGUUACUUUAAGUUGCUAAAAGCAAGAUAAAGUAAUACAUAUUGUGCAUGUUUGACACAGUUCUCCCCGAUUCUGAAUCUAGCUAUUUGUAUUUUUCAUUUUAGUGGAACUUCAGUACACAUGACCACAGUAACAUUAUUUUCACAAUGUCACUAGAGACGAGGGCAACCUUAUUUGUGACAAUUAUCAGAGUUGGAUAGAAGAAGUGGUGUGCAGUGGCAUCUAACGAAUUGUGAAUGAGUGACAUCUAACAAUUCUCACUAAAUUUGAAUACUCGCAUUUUUUGUCCUGUUGCAACGCACGGGCAAUUUACCUUUCUGUUCUUAUGAAAUGCAGAUUUGGAAAGGAGGAACAAGGUACUGAACUUUUUUAUAUCUGCAUAAUCUACAUCCGAAGUUAAGCAGUACACAAAUUACUAUGCACUGGAGGAACAUGGCAAUUUUAAGCUUACUACAUGCGGAAUUAUGUUGCUGCAGCUCUUUUAGUACUCACGUGUAGAUUUUCCUACAGCAAUAUUACUUGCAUUCAGUUUCGUUCCGUCAUGGAAAUUCAGAUGGGCGUUCUGCAGCGUGUUCAGAAUAAUACUUUGCAAGGGACAGCAGCCUGACGUCGAGCAGUAGCAGCAACAUGUUCUGCAGCUUCGAUGACCCUGAUGAAUCCGCUGUCGUGCUCAACUCCUGCUAGGAGGGCAUGGAGGAGUUUCCCCUUGAACCACAUGACCUGAUUCUCAGAUCAUUGUUCUACUGACGCUCACUUCACCUGAACGGCUGGACCAGAUGAUAGUAUAUAUACCCAGUGUGGUAUAUUGUUAUAAGGUUGUGUAUUAGCUUCCAGUGAUUUUGCUCUCACUGGUAUCUCGACAAAGCUUGAAGUAUAUGUCGAUGUCUUGCUCAGUUCAAUUAGUAAUAGUAUUAGCUUGAAGUGCCAUCCAUACUCAGUUUCAACUAGAUAUCUCCAUGGAUAGCUCCCUUGCCAUUAUAUUGAAGGUUAGUGUUGUUACAUGUUGCUCAACGUUGCACUUUUAGUACUCUAGCUGCUUUGUAGGCGAAACCGCCACCACCUGCAACCGUGCCCUCAGGCUUCCCUCAGACCGUCCUUAUCAAUUGUAGUCUCUGCUCGCCCAUGUUAAGUACCUCCUUUUAGAAAGGGCCUCCCUCGAUAGUGGCCUCCCCUGGAAGCUCUUGACCCUACAAUGGAGUCGGUUCCCUGUCAGUAGAAAAUUCUUGUGUUUGGCCGUCAGACUGUUAGUUGUAACCAUGUUAUUCUGUCAAGCUUUUCCAUCGAGUUGCCGAAACAAUAUCAAAGUAGAAGAUGUUAAAUAUGAAAGUACCAAGUUAUGUACUCUGCUAUUGUGGUUGUGAAGCUCGUACAGUCUGCUUGAUGUUCGCACCAAAUUUCCUUCAGGCAACAGGAUGAUGAGUUCAGUGCAAGUCUUCAGAUUGCAGGGCUAAUCAUAGGCAAAGAAUUCUGGACUUCUGUGGGCUUUCAUGAACGAUUUUGUAAUGAAGAAUAGUUGUUAAGUAAUUAUUUUUGCUAGAAGAGUAGCGUCGCCAAAAAGAGUAUUGCUAGGGAAGUAACUAGAGUACAUGCUACUAUUUUUAUAGGGAAGAGCCUAAACGACCCGACUUAUGCAAUCUACAGAUGUUGCUUACGAAAUCGGGUAUAGAGACAUGCAUCUGCAACCAUCUAUUAGCAACAUCAGGUUUGUGUUUGUAUCUCUUCUGCGUGAAUCAUUUCUUGAUCAUUAUGUUAUUCUUCUGUCAUCUUGAAUCAUUUUUGUUAUAGCCAUACAUUCUCUUUUGGUUUAAGAAGAUAAUAAUCAAGUUUCACUAAAUGCAUUUUCUAUAGCGGUCAGAUUCUCUAAUAAUUCAAUCAUACUACGUACUGGUGUGUAAUUUCAUUUCUUUGGUCAACAAUCUACCUUUUCCCUUAGAUUGUUUCUCAUAGUGAACAACUGAUAAAAAGGAUUUGUAGGAAAUAGACAAGAAUGACAAGGUACAUACUGAUGUUUUCUGUAAUUUUCCUGUGUGGUUCAAGAGAAGCGUAUUGCAGCAGAAGAUUCAAGGGUGAUAACGUACGCAACGAAGAAAAAAUUUCUGUUGUGGGAGAAGAAAUUCCUGCCCCAUAGGCUUUCAGUUUAAAAGUUUCCAUUACAUACAGUUUCACUCUGUUCAUAUGAUACAUUUGUUAUCACUCGGUAUUCUGCUCAAGGGGAACUGAUACUUCCUCAUAUGAGAAUUCUUAUCCUUCUGACUAUGGCAUGCCUUUUGGUCUGCCCUGGCUUAGGUAGUUUGUGUUGACUCCUUGAUUAUUCAGUGAUUUGCCAACUAUUCAUGGAUUCAGCAACAGACUGGAUUUGCUUUGUCCCAAGAUCAUGGAUACUUGAAUGCCCUUUAUUGACCAUAUAUUUGAGAGGCCACUUCUGAUUGCUUUUGUAUUUUAUGCAUAUUUUAAGCUUGUGGAAGCCAUUUUUUUUCUCAAAGAUCUCACUUGUGCAUGUUAAUCUCGGGAACUAUAUCCAGACAUCCCUUGCCCCUCUUAUGCGGGUCAUUUUGCAUUUUGCUUUUGUGUUAGAAUAAGUAAUUAAUAUUAUGUAAUCAGAACCAUUUUUUGUUCGUAUGGGAUUGUCCUCUAUGAUAACUUGAUAAGGCAUGAGAACAUUUUUAUAUGUCAAAAGUGGUCAAUCCGCAGAAGAAUGCAUGCUCCUAAGCCAUGGGAGAAAUUAGCAAACAGACAAAAGUUAUCAUUUGAUUUCAGUGCUUUGAAUAGGUUCAUGCAAAAAGAUAAACUUUCAGAUGUAUAUGGUAUCACCCUCACCUCUGAUGGCACAAGCGCUCUAUUUGAUGUUCUUCAGGAGAGGUUCAAGAUUACAUUUAAGGAGAGAACACAGUCAUGGUGACACUCGAUAAAGUGAAGCAACGGCCAGCCUUGCAAGAUAGGGAGUAGUCCGGGCCUAUCAUACAAUGUAAAUAUGUCAACUGCUCUUUGCAGAGUCGCUACAAAAUUCAUGUUAAUUUCCUGCAAAUGAAUAAGCUUUGUUUUUAUAUGAA